rnacentral:rRNA from 1 species
UACGAAGGGGGCUAGCGUUGCUCGGAAUUACUGGGCGUAAAGGGCGCGUAGGCGGACAGUUUAGUCAGAGGUAAAAGCCCAGGGCUCAACCUUGGAACUGCCUUUGAUACUGACUGUCUUGAGUUCGGGAGAGGUGAGUGGAAUGCCGAGUGUAGAGGUGAAAUUCGUAGAUAUUCGGCGGAACACCAGUGGCGAAGGCGACUCACUGGCCCGAUACUGACGCUGAGGCGCGAAAGCG